CUUAACCUGGGAACUGCGCUUGUGACUGGCAGGCUUGAGUACGGCAGAGGGGGGUGGAAUUCCACGUGUAGCAGUGAAAUGCGUAGAGAUGUGGAGGAACACCGAUGGCGAAGGCAGCCCCCUGGGCUGAUACUGACGCUCAUGCACGAAAGCGUGGGGAGCAAACAGGAUUAGAUACCCUGGUAGUCCACGCCCUAAACGAUGUCGACUAGUCGUUCGUGAGGGUAACCUUGUGAGUGACGCAGCUAACGCGUGAAGUCGACCGCCUGGGGAGUACAGCCGCAAGGUUAAAACUCAAAGGAAUUGACGGGGACCCGCACAAGCGGUGGAUGAUGUGGAUUAAUUCGAUGCAACGCGAAAAACCUUACCUACCCUUGACAUGCCUGGAAUCCUUGAGAGAUCAGGGAGUGCCUUCGGGAGCCA
rnacentral:rRNA from 1 species